UACGAAGGGGGCUAGCGUUGCUCGGAAUUACUGGGCGUAAAGCGCACGUAGGCGGGUCAUUAAGUCAGGGGUGAAAGCCCACAGCUCAACUGUGGAACUGCCUUUGAUACUGGUGACCUAGACCAAAGUAGAGGCAGGUGGAAUUCCGAGUGUAGAGGUGGAAUUCGUAGAUAUUCGGAGGAACACCAGUGGCGAAGGCGGCCUGCUGGACUUUUGGUGACGCUGAGGUGCGAAAGCGUGGGGAGCAAACAGG
rnacentral:rRNA from 1 species